UUGAACGCUGGCGGAAUGCUUUGCACAUGCAAGUCGAGCGGCAGCGCGGGGGCAACCUUGGCGGCGAGCGGCGAACGGGUGAGUAACAUAUCGGAACGUACCCAGACGUGGGGGACAACUAGUCGAAAGACUAGCUAAUACCGCAUACGUCCUGAGGGAGAAAGCGGGGGAUCGCAAGACCUCGCGCGUUUGGAGCGGCCGAUAUCUGAUUAGCUAGAUGGUGGGGUAAAGGCUCACCAUGGCGACGAUCAGUAGCGGGUCUGAGAGGAUGAUCAGCCACACUGGAACUGAGACACGGUCCAGACUCCUACGGGAGGCAGCAGUGGGGAAUUUUGGACAAUGGGGGAAACCCUGAUCCAGCCAUUCCGCGUGAGUGAAGAAGGCCUUCGGGUUGUAAAGCUCUUUCGGCAGGAACGAAACGGCGGAAUCUAAUACAUUCCACUAAUGACGGUACCUGGAGAAGAAGCACCGGCUAACUACGU
rnacentral:rRNA from 1 species